rnacentral:lncRNA from 1 species
AAAGUUAAGGAUUACAGAACCAAGUACAUAAACAGCUUUAAGCAAGCUGAGAUACAAACCAACAAAGUAAACAUCAAAACAGCAGAACAUAACUGCCAAAAUCAAGAAAAUCCAUCAAAACAGCAACACAAAUCAUCACAUCAAUGGGGGCCAAAUUCAAAGGAGAUAAUCAGAGGAGCUUGAGCUUGCAGCUUCAUCAACAUCAAAAAGCAGAAUUGCCACUUGUCUCAUCAUUAGUUGC